GAUGCUUUGGUUGGGUUUGGGAAUACUGUCAAGAUUCGUGUGGGUCCCUUCAAGGGCUACCGUGGUCGUGUAGUAGAUGUUGAUGGUUGAACUGUUCGAGUUGAACUGGACUAACAGUUGAAGGUUCUUACCAGAUUCAUCUCAACAGUAUAGUUUGGGACACGAAACCCAAUGCUCCACAUGACUCCGAUGAGAGAUGCAGGAGGGGCCGCUCCAAUCCAUGAUGGAAUGCAAACUCCCAUGUGUGACCAUGCAUGGAAUCCUUGUGCACCAAUGAGCCCAUAAAGUGAAAUUUCGGAUUUAUAGCCGUGGCCAGACAUUAAGAAAAAGACGAGGAGGAGUAUGAUGGUGGACGAUGAAGAAGAAGCAGAAGAGAUCAAAAUUGAUAGAUGAUGUGGUUGAAGAUGAUUACCGCUUGAGAAAACGCAAGUUGACCUGGUUCUGAGUUGUUGGACGAUAUCGCAGCUAUUGCAAGUGAUGAUGAUGACGAAGAGGAAGACAAAGGAGAUGCCCAUAAGCUCGAUUUUAGUUCUUUCUCUCUCUAUUGAUUCUUUUUUCUCUCUCUUUCUAAUUUUCUGAUGUUUCUAAUUUUCUUUCUUCAGUCUAAUUACUGCAAA